rnacentral:rRNA from 1 species
UGGGGAAUUUUGGACAAUGGGCGCAAGCCUGAUCCAGCCAUGCCGCGUGCGGGAAGAAGGCCUUCGGGUUGUAAACCGCUUUUGUCAGGGAAGAAAUCUUCUGAGUUAAUACCUCGGGAGGAUGACGGUACCUGAAGAAUAAGCACCGGCUAACUACGUGCCAGCAGCCGCGGUAAUACGUAGGGUGCAAGCGUUAAUCGGAAUUACUGGGCGUAAAGCGUGCGCAGGCGGUUUUGUAAGACAGAGGUGAAAUCCCCGGGCUCAACCUGGGAACUGCCUUUGUGACUGCAAGGCUUGAGUGCGGCAGAGGGGGAUGGAAUCCCGCGUGUAGCAGUGAAAUGCGUAGAUAUGCGGAGGAACACCGAUGGCGAAGGCAAUCCCCUGGGCCUGCACUGAGGCUCAUGCACGAAAGCGUGGGGAGCAAACAGGAUUAGAUACCCUGGUAGUCCACGCCCUAAACGAUGUCAAACUGGUUGUUGGGAAGGUUCCUUCUCAGUAACGUAGCUAACGCGUGAAGUUGACCGCCUGGGGAGUACGGCCGCAAGG